UACGUAGGGUGCAAGCGUUGCCCGGAUUUAUUGGGCGUAAAGGGUGCGUAGGCGGCUUUGUAAGUCAGUGGUGAAAUAUGGCAGCUCAACUGUCAGGGUGCCAUUGAUACUGCGGAGCUUGAGUACAGAUGAGGUAGGCGGAAUUGACGGUGUAGCGGUGAAAUGCUUAGAUAUCGGGAGGAACAUCAGUGGCGAAGGCGGCCUUCUGGUCCAGUACUGACACUCAAGUGCGAAAGCGUGGGGAGCAAACAGG
rnacentral:rRNA from 1 species